GAAGCACAUUUUAAACAGUCAGUAUAUUUGACCUUAUUGUAAAAUGGAACCAGUGAGCAUAAAUACAAUAUAACAUUUUGCAAAUGUAUACACACACGUGACUAUAGCUCAACUUGAAAUACAGUAUGAACACAUGACAGGUUGAACAUAAAUCAAAAUGUUAGUGGGAGUUGUUUUAUGCAGUAAGACUGUAUAUCCAGGAAGCGAGUCACUGAAACACAGUAUGCAUCAUCAGACUGGACUAACAUACGAGUCCUUAAGUAGUCCCUCCUUACUAAAUAACACUGUGUUUUUUUUGUAUCCUUGUCACAGUUUUUGAAGACAAAAACUGGGAAAGCUGUGCAUGAGAGAAUGGAUGACUGAUCACAUAAGGGGAGUGGACACAAGAGUGUAUCCCAACUCCUUGCCACGGAAUUAAGCCAGGAAGGAAAUUGUUCAGGGACUGGGCUCUGAAGGCUGGUUUUAACUAUACAAACCCAGGGCUUGGCCCACAGUCACCUAAUAGGACACCCAACUAGCCUUCAAUAGUUUCCUCAGCCAUGGACUCUGUCACUCACACUGUACGUGUUCAGACCUCUCAAGUUCUUGAAAGAGCACUCUCCCUAACUGAGAAGUCUUGGGUUCACCUCUGGUUGUUCAGCUCUGAUUUUACAUAGUUCAGUUUUCCAUAUAAGGUCAUUUUUUACUUGUGCAUCUUUAACAUGAUGAGAGCAGCAAAGAAGAGGAAAUAAUAGAAGAGACCAGGCAUUCUUUUUUGUCUAGUUGAUCAUGCAGACUUCCACAGCACAGAUCCUUUCCCCCAAGAAGACCCAACAUGAAAAUCACACCAAUACAAAAGCUCGGUGGCAUCAUUUUCCCCUUCUGAAUUCUAUUAAGUCGGAAGCUGUCACAAAUCCCACCUAUUGUUGGAAAUGCACGGCAUCUCUGGAAGUCCUUCCGACAUAAACAUGAAGCGCCUGCAUCUGCUAAUGCAGCUUCUUGUAAAGACACACAGCCUUCCUCAGUCAGCUUACUUCUAAUAUCACCAUCAACUGGGUCUGGACUCCACUAAGGCAGGGCUCUGUAGAACUUUUUCUCAGUAUGGAUUUCCCCCAAUGGAACCUUUGAUUGUCAGAGCUGAGAUGUUGAUUGCUGCUGCUAUUAUUCCCCAGAGGCUACGGAGAAGAGAUGCUGUAGCUCUGAACAAUGGUCUGCCCUCUAACCAGCAAGGCAGCUGCCCUAGACUCCUCAAAGGCCUCCCUGACUGAGCCCUGAUGCAGCAUUAUAAUGGUUUGCUUCUGAAUCCACCCCAACACUCAUGAGAUGUUUUGGGCCUAUAAACUUAAUCCAGUUAUGGUGUCUAGAAGUGGAUCUGUAGGAGGUAAAGUCAAAUAUGUCAUAAGGGCCAGUCCCUCAUCCAAUGGAGCCAUGACUUACACAAAGAGGAAGAGAUACUUAAGUCAGGCUGGCCUAUUUUGUUAUGUAAUUUCCUGUCUUGUUCUGGGACUGCAGAGAGUUCCCACCAGAUAUGGCUGCCCAAUCUGAAGCUUCCCAGCCUUCGAACCAUGGGCCAAAUGCACUUUAAUUCUGUGCAAAUUGCUUGUCAGCUAUGGCAACAUGAAAUAGAUCCAGACAUGCUCCUUCCCCAGGGGCCAGGCUAUCUAUGGGACUGCCUUCCCACAGCUGUAGAGCAAGCUAAUUCAAAGGAAGCUCUGCACUAGCUUUAGCCCUCACUACCCCAAAGCAUGGACCAAUUUCUUCGGCACAGCACUUCAAGAUCUCAAAGGGAAUUUGGCAAGUGGUCUUUCCUAACAGGCCAAAGGCCGUCCCAUUUAAGUGUAGGACAAAGAAUAAAAAGUCUGGGUUUGUUCCGAGGGUGACUGUUACCCCUCCACAGUCCCUGAAUUGCUGAUGCCAGCUCUGGGUGAUCGUAUCUGAACUCGAUCUGCUAAUGAUCAACAGAGGAGCACUAAGUAAAACAAGUGAUUUUACUUUUCACUGACACUGUGCACAGGAAUGAAGCAGAGCAAGGCUGGAGGAAGCGCUUCACUUGGGUGAAAUCAGGCUAGCUUUCCACUUAGGCAGAACGAGCUCAGCCAGGAAGGCCAGUCACUUUGGCCUCUGAACUGUCUGAUGCUACCGUGAUGGGGUAGUCAGUCACUGGCGCUGACAGAGAGCUGGGAGGUGUGUUCAUUUGUUUUUCUCACUAUUGACUUCAUGGUGGACGGCAAGAAUGAGGAACUGGGAAGACUGUGAGAAAAUACUAUGCUGUUCUAGUGGCAGCUGCCAUUCUUGGGGACAACCAGACUUCUUGACCUCCCAGACAAAACUGAAGAUCAUUCUAGAAGUUCUGGGUCCACAGGUCAGAGCUGCUUUUGGAACUAGAAGCCAUGGGCUCAGAUAUCUGCUGCUGGGAUUUCCUGUGACUUAAUGAGAAGCCUCCACAGGCAAGCUCUUCCAGAAACAUCUUUCUCCUUUCUGUCACUGAAGCUCAAGACUGGUCACUAAUUCAGAGAACUGUGUCUGUUCCUUUUUCCAGGAACAAUGGUCUUGUUCUUACCCUUAACAUUUAUUCUAGAAUCCCCUGAAUUACUCUCCACCUGUACAAGGAUCUAAAGGACCCUUCCCUUAGUUCCGGACACACACCCUUUUCUUCCUUAUUCUAAAAACAGCAGCCCUUUCUUGAUGAUGGGAAGUACAAAGGCCAUCACAUACUCAAACACAUACAGCCUGAUGCUACUCCAAGAAAGCAGAACCAUUGCUUUUCAUUUGAUGUUUUCUCUAAGCCGGUGAGAGAGGUUCUUAAGACUCUACUCACACUUGCUCACAUGCCGGUCUCUGCACCAAUUGUUCAAGAACGUCUCUAGUUAUCAAGCAGAACCUCAAAUUGAAGCCUUCUGAAACUUAACUAAUUCUACUAGUCUUCAAAUAAAACAUGCUUAAAGGUUGUGACUGACUUCAUGUUUCCAGACCCACUAGUCACUUAUUGUUUACCCCACUGAUGACUCCUGAAGCACAGUCCCUCUUCUGACCUCCCUUCUCCCACAUCACUGAUGGCUUCUCCCCACCCUCCACCUCCCCCGCCACCCCACCAACCAGGAGCGGUCUCAGCAA